UUUAUUUUGGCCACACAUGGCUUUUAUGUACUGACCCCUAGCAUGGGGUCUCCACAUCAAAAAUUCAAGCACUUUCAUCUCUCUGUUUCUGAGAGAUUAUUGAGUGGAAAAAUUAUAACUCAAUUAUCUCUCAGAUACAAGAAACACACACAAUAUUACAAUUUACCCCAAAAAUAAAUUUCAAUGACAUAGGAACCCCACGAAGGCCAUAGCACCAAAUAGCUUGGGUUUGAGCACCCACUUUGUUGAAAUAGGGCUCAGAUCCCUUUGGUGGUUCGGGAACGCCAUUCGAAUGAAGUUAUGACCGGCCGGCCACGAGAUGAUGCCCCAAAACAGUUCCAUAGAAAACAAGGCAAGGAUUGGUAAUCUUUCAGGGGUUCUUACACGAACACCAACAAAUGUGCCCCCUGGCUGUUAGGAAGCGAAUGUUCCCCCUGUUUGGUAGUUCAUGCCUUCCGAACGACGUUCUCUAACUGAUCAGGAAGUUGGCUGGACAGUGGUACAAGUUUCCCGGGUGUUCACGGGGUCGUGUAUCCGAGAUAUAGUUCCAUGCCACAGACGACCAUGUAGCACUGCCUGCGUUCGGGAGACAAAAUGGCCGCCAAUACUUGGAGCACGUGUGUUCGGUUAUACUAAAAGCACCCACACAGGGAAAACACUUGCGCUAAUGAUAAAUUUGUGGUUAACAGCCAGGGCUGGUCAGUGAUUAGAAGGUGCGUAGAAGGUGUGAACAAGGGGACCAUACGGAUUUGGUUCUGUAAAUGAAUGGGGGAUGUACGGACAGCCGAACAACGAGGAAUAAAAGUGUAUUAGGGGAUCCAUUCCACUACAUAGAUGCUGUUUUAC